AACGAACGCUGGCGGCAUGCCUAACACAUGCAAGUCGAACGAUUGCCUUCGGGUGAUAGUGGCGCACGGGUGCGUAACGCGUGGGAAUCUGCCCUUAGGUUCGGAAUAACAGCUGGAAACGGCUGCUAAUACCGGAUGAUAUCGCGAGAUCAAAGAUUUAUCGCCUGAGGAUGAGCCCGCGUUGGAUUAGGUAGUUGGUGGGGUAAAGGCCUACCAAGCCGACGAUCCAUAGCUGGUCUGAGAGGAUGAUCAGCCACACUGGGACUGAGACACGGCCCAGACUCCGACGGGAGGCAGCAGUGGGGAAUAUUGGACAAUGGGCGCAAGCCUGAUCCAGCAAUGCCGCGUGAGUGAUGAAGGCCCUAGGGUUGUAAAGCUCUUUUACCCGGGAAGAUAAUGACUGUACCGGGAGAAUAAGCCCCGGCUAACUCCGUG
rnacentral:rRNA from 1 species